GGAUCCUGGGCAGGUUGGCUGGGUCGGGCUGCCCGGGCGACGCCGGAGUUGCAGUUGGAGGCUGCGGGAAUACAAAGUGACACUGACUGCCGGGUAACUGUCUCUCAGGACAUUUGUGCUUUGAGUCUCUGCAACUCUGGACCAUCUCUGCAGGCUAAAAGAUGUGCCUGUUGCUAAGAGGAGGAGCCCUGCAGCAGGAAUCCGGUGCCAGCUGACCUGGAACAACCUGAUCUCCAGAAAGCAUCCCUGUUAUACUCAAAUGGGCCUUCCAGAUGAGCCCUGGAUCCAGCCUUUCUUUGACUAUGAACCUAAACGUAAGAAAGAGAAGUUUCUUGACUCCCUAAAAACGAGUCAUAAUGCUUUCUGAAACUGAGUCUCUUCUGCUUCUGGAAACUGAGUCUUAGUGCAAAGAAAUCCCUCUGUAUUUUCUUGAUUUCCAUCUUGAUUCUCUAUUUUAAAGAUAAAAUAGCUGUUGCUUUGUGUCUGUGUAGAGUGUGGCAAAAAGAGAGGAAACAGAAAAAGAUAAAAGGACCAUCUCUCUCA
ensembl:lncRNA FRMD3-AS1 FRMD3 antisense RNA 1